GUGUGGUUGUGUGGUGCGGGUGGGUAGUCAUUUGACCUGAAAAGAUGCCUAAGAAACCGCAGCAAGGUAGAAAGCGAAAAAGACAAGAGUUGUUCAUCGUAGACCGAAUAUUGGAUCACCGCACCAUUGUAGGCAAGAAGGAAUAUCUUGUCAAAUGGGACGGCUACCCAAAAGA